rnacentral:miRNA from 10 species
UAUUAGGUCGGUGCAAAAGUAAUUGCGGUUUUUGCCAUUACAUGCAAUGUCAAAAUCGCAAUUAUUUUUGCACCAACGUAA